UACGAAGGGGACUAGCGUUGUUCGGAAUUACUGGGCGUAAAGCGCACGUAGGCGGUUUUAUAAGUCAGGGGUGAAAUCCCGGGGCUCAACCUCGGAACUGCCUUUGAUACUGUAGAUCUCGAGUCCGAUAGAGGUGGGUGGAAUUCCUAGUGUAGAGGUGAAAUUCGUAGAUAUUAGGAAGAACACCGGUGGCGAAGGCGGCCCACUGGAUCGGUACUGACGCUGAGGUGCGAAAGCGUGGGGAGCAAACAGG
rnacentral:rRNA from 1 species